AACUAUGGCCAAAUCACCUUGAACAUACCUGAUCUCAUCUAACCUAAGAAGCUAAGCAGGAUCAGUUAGGCCUGGUUAGUACGUGCAUGGGAGACCACCUGGGAAUGUCAGGUGCUAUAGCUU
rnacentral:rRNA from 1 species